rnacentral:lncRNA from 1 species
AGUAAACAGUGCUGCCCUAAUCUGUCUAAAGCCAUGAGGUCGAAGAGGGCGGUGUGUGUGGGGUGAGUCUGAAGCCACAGGCGGAGGAGGAGGAGGAGGAGGAGGAGGAGGAGGAGGAGAAGAAGAAGAAGAAGAAGAAGAAGAAGAAGAGAGAAGAGAAGAGAAGAGAAAGAAGAAAGAAGAAAGGGAAGAAAGAAGAAAGAGAAGAGGAAGAGGAGGAAGAGGAAGAGGAGGAAGAGGAAGAGGAAGGGGAAAAGGGGAAGAAGAAUCGCUAAGUAGCAGCUUUAUACUCAGGCUUCUUGUUUACAUAAUGGGGAGAGUCACGACUGGGUUCUUCUUGGAGCCACCUCCCAGGGCAGUUGUAAGGAGCCCUGAUAAAGAUUUAUGUGGUUUGUUUUCUUUCCCCAAACUUUUGAAGAUCAACAGAGUAGAAUUACUUGUCUGGGUGUCCUGA